rnacentral:rRNA from 1 species
CUCUUGGCUCUCGCAUCGAUGAAGAACGCAGCGAAAUGCGAUAAGUAAUGUGAAUUGCAGAAUUCAGUGAAUCAUCGAAUCUUUGAACGCACCUUGCGCUCCUUGGUAUUCCGAGGAGCAUGCCUGUUUGAGUGUCAUGAAAUUCUCAACCCAUAAAUCCUUGUGAUCUAUGGGCUUGGAUUUGGAGGCUUGC